AGGAGCCGUAUGAGAUGAAAACCUCAUGUACGGUUUUGGAACGGAGAUUUUUUGAAUAGAAUGAACGAAUGUAACGGAUGUUCGCUCAAUCCGAA
rnacentral:ncRNA from 1 species